UAGGGAAUCUUCGGCAAUGGACGCAAGUCUGACGGAGCAACGCCGCGUGAGUGAAGAAGGAUUUCGGUUCGUAAAACUCUGUUGUUAGAGAAGAACAGCGCAUAGAGUAACUGUUAUGCGUGUGACGGUAUCUAACCAGAAAGCCACGGCUAACUACGUGCCAGCAGCUGCGGUAAUACGUAGGUGGCAAGCGUUGUCCGGAUUUAUUGGGCGUAAAGCGAGCGCAGGCGGUCAAUUAAGUCUGAUGUGAAAGCCCCCGGCUCAACCGGGGAGGGUCAUUGGCAACUGGUUGACUUGAGUGCAGAAGAGGAGAGUGGAAUUCCAUGUGUAGCGGUGAAAUGCGUAGAUAUAUGGAGGAACACCAGUGGCGAAGGCGACUCUCUGGUCUGUAACUGACGCUGAGGCUCGAAAGCGUGGGUAGCAAACAGG
rnacentral:rRNA from 1 species